rnacentral:rRNA from 1 species
ACGGGGGGAGCGAGCGUUGUUCGGAUUCACUGGGCGUAAAGGGUGCGUAGGUGGCUUGGUAAGUUUGAUGUGAAAGCUCAGGGCUCAACCCGGAAAUGGCAUUGAAUACUACUGAGCUGGAGGUUUGGAGGGGGGACUGGAAUUCUCGGUGUAGCAGUGAAAUGCGUAGAUAUUUGGAGGAACACCGAUGGCGAAGGCAGCCCCCUGGGCUAACACUGACGCUCAUGCACGAAAGCGUGGGGAGCAAACAGGA